rnacentral:rRNA from 1 species
GGUGGUGGAUUAGUGGCGAACGGGUGAGUAACACGUGGGCAAUCUGCCCUGCACUCUGGGACAAGCCCUGGAAACGGGGUCUAAUACCGGAUAUGACUACCGAUCGCAUGGUUGGUGGUGGAAAGCUCCGGCGGUGCAGGAUGAGCCCGCGGCCUAUCAGCUUGUUGGUGGGGUGAUGGCCUACCAAGGCGACGACGGGUAGCCGGCCUGAGAGGGCGACCGGCCACACUGGGACUGAGACACGGCCCAGACUCCUACGGGAGGCAGCAGUGGGGAAUAUUGCACAAUGGGCGAAAGCCUGAUGCAGCGACGCCGCGUGAGGGAUGACGGCCUUCGGGUUGUAAACCUCUUUCAGCAGGGAAGAAGCGAGAGUGACGGUACCUGCAGAAGAAGCGCCGGCUAACUACGUGCCAGCAGCCGCGGUAAUACGUAGGGCGCGAGCGUUGUCCGGAAUUAUUGGGCGUAAAGAGCUCGUAGGCGGCUUGUCACGUCGGAUGUGAAAGCCCGGGGCUUAACCCCGGGUCUGCAUUCGAUACGGGCAGGCUAGAGUUCGGUAGGGGAGAUCGGAAUUCCUGGUGUAGCGGUGAAAUGCGCAGAUAUCAGGAGGAACACCGGUGGCGAAGGCGGAUCUCUGGGCCGAUACUGACGCUGAGGAGCGAAAGCGUGGGGAGCGAACAGGAUUAGAUACCCUGGUAGUCCACGCCGUAAACGUUGGGAACUAGGUGUGGGCGACAUUCCACGUCGUCCGUGCCGCAGCUAACGCAUUAAGUUCCCCGCCUGGGGAGUACGGCCGCAAGGCU